AAUAGGAGAAUGACAAAUCAUAUUUUUCUUCUUGAUUUUCAGUUUUUUCCUCCUGAAAAAAUUCAAAUCCAACUAAAAUGCUAAAAAUCAAGAGGAAAAACUUAAUUUGUCAUUCUCCUAUU
rfam:Gossypium raimondii Chr08_contig_798, whole genome shotgun sequence.